UUGGGAGGCUGAGGCAGGCAGAUCACUUGAGCACAGGAGUUGCAGGCUGCAAUGACCCAUGUUAACAUCACUGCACUCCAACCUGGGCAACAGAGUGAGAACCUGUCUGAGAAA